GGGUUGUGAGGUUAAGCGACUAAGCGUACACGGUGGAUGCCCUGGCAGUCAGAGGCGAUGAAGGGCGUGCUAAUCUGCGAUAAGCGCCGGUAAGGUGAUAUGAACCGUUAUAACCGGCGAUUUCCGAAUGGGGAAACCCAGUGUGACUCGUCACACUAUCAUUAACUGAAUCCAUAGGUUAAUGAGGCGAACCGGGGGAACUGAAACAUCUAAGUACCCCGAGGAAAAGAAAUCAACCGAGAUUCCCCCAGUAGCGGCGAGCGAACGGGGAGGAGCCAAGAGCCUGAAUCAGCAUAUGUGUUAGUGGAAGCGUCUGGAAAGGCGCGCGAUACAGGGUGACAGCCCCGUACACAAAAGCGCAUGUGCUGUGAGCUCGAUGAGUAGGGCGGGACACGUGGUAUCCUGUCUGAAUAUGGGGGGACCAUCCUCCAAGGCUAAAUACUCCUGACUGACCGAUAGUGAACCAGUACCGUGAGGGAAAGGCGAAAAGAACCCCGGCGAGGGGAGUGAAAAAGAACCUGAAACCGUGUACGUACAAGCAGUGGGAGCCCCACCACUAAGCCAGUGGUGAACUCCACAUACGCAUCCUUUGCUGAGGAUACGGUUAACGGAGCGAAAGCGACGUUCAACCUCAAAAGAAGCAGAGGGGGCUUAGUGGUGGGGUGACUGCGUACCUUUUGUAUAAUGGGUCAGCGACUUAUAUUCUGUAGCAAGGUUAACCGAAUAGGGGAGCCGGAGGGAAACCGAGUCUUAA
rnacentral:rRNA from 1 species